rnacentral:lncRNA from 1 species
GAGCUUUCUGCCUGGUCCAGACCGCCUGUUCCCUAUGGGGAACACUGGGAAAUUAUGUGUUUCACCAGUCAACCAGCCCCCUUCGUGCCCCCAACAAGCCAAAGGUGUACAGGUGGUUACCUGCACAGGUACCAAAUCGUACCGGGACAACUUCAUUGCUGGCCUUGGGGGACUUCUUUAGGGGAUAGCCCCCACCCCCUCCGCCACCAGUCCCUCCUGCCGGUGGGUAAGAAGGACAGAGAGCCAAGAGGCACAGGUAAGGGUCCCCAGGGCCAGCCAGGCGCCCCCGCGUGCCGGCCGCGACUCCACUGCGCGGUCCUGGCCUCCAGGGCCCCCUCCUCCCGAGCCCCUCCGAGGGGCAGGGGGAGUCCUCGUGCCCGGCACCCCUUCCUGCCGGCCAGCCUGCUCGCCCCGCGCCCGGCCCGGGAGCCCCGAGCUGCCGGAGCCGCAGCGCCCACUCGGGGCGAACCGCGAGCACUCACCAUUAUGCUCUUGCAUGCUCGACAGCGACCAGAGCAGCAGCGCCACCAAGGCCAGGAAGCAGAGCUGGCUCAGCAGAAGGUCCCUCCGGCGGCUCCGGCGACGCUCGCGGUCCUCGUCGUCGG